GGGUUGUGAGGUUAAGCGACUAAGCGUACACGGUGGAUGCCUAGGCAGUCAGAGGCGAUGAAGGGCGUGCUAAUCUGCGAAAAGCGUCGGUAAGCUGAUAUGAAGCGUUAUAACCGACGAUACCCGAAUGGGGAAACCCAGUGCAAUACGUUGCACUAUCGUUAGAUGAAUACAUAGUCUAACGAGGCGAACCGGGGGAACUGAAACAUCUAAGUACCCCGAGGAAAAGAAAUCAACCGAGAUUCCCCCAGUAGCGGCGAGCGAACGGGGAGGAGCCCAGAGUCUGAAUCAGUUUGUGUGUUAGUGGAAGCGUCUGGAAAGUCGCACGGUACAGGGUGAUAGUCCCGUACACCAAAAUGCACAGGCUGUGAACUCGAUGAGUAGGGCGGGACACGUGACAUCCUGUCUGAAUAUGGGGGGACCAUCCUCCAAGGCUAAAUACUCCUGACUGACCGAUAGUGAACCAGUACCGUGAGGGAAAGGCGAAAAGAACCCCGGCGAGGGGAGUGAAAUAGAACCUGAAACCGUGUACGUACAAGCAGUGGGAGCACCUUCGUGGUGUGACUGCGUACCUUUUGUAUAAUGGGUCAGCGACUUAUAUUUUGUAGCAAGGUUAACCGAAUAGGGGAGCCGUAGGGAAACCGAGUCUUAACUGGGCGUCUAGUUGCAAGGUAUAGACCCGAAACCCGGUGAUCUAGCCAUGGGCAGGUUGAAGGUUGGGUAACACUAACUGGAGGACCGAACCGACUAAUGUUGAAAAAUUAGCGGAUGACUUGUGGCUGGGGGUGAAAGGCCAAUCAAACCGGGAGAUAGCUGGUUCUCCCCGAAAGCUAUUUAGGUAGCGCCUCGUGAACUCAUCUUCGGGGGUAGAGCACUGUUUCGGCUAGGGGGCCAUCCCGGCUUACCAAACCGAUGCAAACUCCGAAUACCGAAGAAUGUUAUCACGGGAGACACACGGCGGGUGCUAACGUCCGUCGUGAAGAGGGAAACAACCCAGACCGCCAGCUAAGGUCCCAAAGUCAUGGUUAAGUGGGAAACGAUGUGGGAAGGCACAGACAGCCAGGAUGUUGGCUUAGAAGCAGCCAUCAUUUAAAGAAAGCGUAAUAGCUCACUGGUCGAGUCGGCCUGCGCGGAAGAUGUAACGGGGCUAAACCAUGCACCGAAGCUGCGGCAGCGACACUUAGGUGUUGUUGGGUAGGGGAGCGUUCUGUAAGCCGUUGAAGGUGACCUGUGAGGGUUGCUGGAGGUAUCAGAAGUGCGAAUGCUGACAUAAGUAACGAUAAUGCGGGUGAAAAACCCGCACGCCGGAAGACCAAGGGUUCCUGUCCAACGUUAAUCGGGGCAGGGUGAGUCGACCCCUAAGGCGAGGCUGAAAAGCGUAGUCGAUGGGAAACAGGUUAAUAUUCCUGUACUUGGUGUUACUGCGAAGGGGGGACGGAGAAGGCUAGGCUGGCCGGGCGACGGUUGUCCCGGUUUAAGCGUGUAGGGGGAGUGACCAGGUAAAUCCGGUUGCUUAUCAACCCUGAGGCGUGAUGACGAUGCACCACGGUGCAGAAGCAGUUGAUGCCAUGCUUCCAGGAAAAGCCUCUAAGCAUCAGGUAACAUUAAAUCGUACCCCAAACCGACACAGGUGGUCAGGUAGAGAAUACUCAGGCGCUUGAGAGAACUCGGGUGAAGGAACUAGGCAAAAUGGUGCCGUAACUUCGGGAGAAGGCACGCUGGCGUUAGGUGAAAGGACUAGCUCCUGGAGCUGAAGCCAGUCGCAGAUACCAGCUGGCUGCAACUGUUUAAUAAAAACACAGCACUGUGCAAACACGAAAGUGGACGUAUACAGUGUGACGCCUGCCCGGUGCUGGAAGGUUAAUUGAUGGGGUCAGCCGCAAGGCGAAGCUCUUGAUCGAAGCCCCAGUAAACGGCGGCCGUAACUAUAACGGUCCUAAGGUAGCGAAAUUCCUUGUCGGGUAAGUUCCGACCUGCACGAAUGGCGUAAUGAUGGCCAGGCUGUCUCCACCCGAGACUCAGUGAAAUUGAACUCGCUGUGAAGAUGCAGUGUACCCGCGGCAAGACGGAAAGACCCCGUGAACCUUUACUAUAGCUUGACACUGAACAUUGAGCCUUGAUGUGUAGGAUAGGUGGGAGGCCUUGAAGUGUGGACGCCAGUCUGCAUGGAGCCAACCUUGAAAUACCACCCUUUAAUGUUUGAUGUUCUAACUCGGCCCCAUGAUCUGGGGUGAGGACAGUGUCUGGUGGGUAGUUUGACUGGGGCGGUCUCCUCCCAAAGAGUAACGGAGGAGCACGAAGGUUAGCUAAUCACGGUCGGACAUCGUGAGGUUAGUGCAAAGGCAUAAGCUAGCUUGACUGCGAGAGUGACGGCUCGAGCAGGUACGAAAGUAGGUCUUAGUGAUCCGGUGGUUCUGAAUGGAAGGGCCAUCGCUCAACGGAUAAAAGGUACUCCGGGGAUAACAGGCUGAUACCGCCCAAGAGUUCAUAUCGACGGCGGUGUUUGGCACCUCGAUGUC
rnacentral:rRNA from 1 species